rnacentral:rRNA from 1 species
UACGUAGGGUGCAAGCGUUAAUCGGAAUUACUGGGCGUAAAGCGUGCGCAGGCGGUGAUGUAAGACAGUUGUGAAAUCCCCGGGCUCAACCUGGGAACUGCAUCUGUGACUGCACGGCUAGAGUGUGUCAGAGGGGGGUAGAAUUCCACGUGUAGCAGUGAAAUGCGUAGAGAUGUGGAGGAAUACCGAUGGCGAAGGCAGCCCCCCUGGGAUAACACUGACGCUCAUGCACGAAAGCGUGGGGAGCAAACAGG